ensembl:piRNA 21ur-3728 ncRNA
UAUUUCGCAUUACGCAGAAAA